GUGACCAGGGUUAGAGUCAGGGGCAGGGUUAGGUGUUAUGGUUGUGACCAGGGUUAGGUGUUAUGGUUGUGACUGGGGUUAGGGGUUAUGGUUGUGACCAGGGUUAGGGGUUAUGGUUGUGACCAGGGUUAGGUGUUAUGGUUGUGACCAGGGUUAGGUGAUAUGGUUGUGACUGGGGUUAGGGGUUAUGGUUGUGACCAGGGUUAGGGGUUAUGGUUGUGACCAGGGUUAGGUGUUAUGGUUGUGACCAGGGUUAGGUGAUAUGGUUGUGACCAGGGUUAGGGGUUAUGGUUGUGACCAGGGUUAGGUGAUAUGGUUGUGACCAGGGUUAGGUGUUAUGGUUGUGACCAGGGUUAGGUGUUAUGCUUGUGACCAGGGUUAGAGACAGGGGCAGGGUUAGGUGUUAUGGUUGUGACCAGGGUUAGAGUCAGGGGCAGGGUGUUAGAUACUGUCGUGAGUGAAAAGCCCAGGAAGACUGUUGUUUCUGAGAUCCUGGAUCUGGCGUGCCUGGCAUGUAUGUAUGUAUG
rnacentral:lncRNA from 1 species